UCAAAUACUCCGGGUAAGUGUGCGAGUUUGAACGUCGGAGUUACACAUGUGGGUCGAUGAGUCUGCACACGUUCAAAAACGUAGUGUGGCAACUAAUUUAUAUCAUGUAUUACCUACGUAAUUACGCUGUUCGAAUAUGAUACUCUUGAACUUAUAGAGUGCGAUAACUUGGUCGCGAUCUUUGGAGCUUUUUUUAGUUUUAGUUUCUUCGUAUUUUUUCGUUUUGCCAAAUCGUCUCUUUGCCGAGAACGUAUUAUCAAGGUCUCGUCAUCAAGUGCUGUAUAAAUGUCAAAUUACAAAGACGUAGUCAGUUAACUACUAUGGUAAAUAGUACAACAGAUAAGAAGCAGUAUUUGAAAGUUACGUACGUAUGUACAGUCUGUAUACGUGCUGCGAUUUUAGUGUUCAUUCAUAUAGCAAUUUCAAAGUUUAAAAUUAAUGAUACUGAGUUUUUUUUAUGUGACCGUUUGAUUGAAUGAGAAAAAGAGAAAAUCAAUUGUGCGGAUUUGAAGAUUUCUAUAGAUUAUCGGUUGCUCUUGGAAAUCGAUUGGCGGGAGGCAAUUAUACGCCCGUUAUAGGUAUCUAAAUUUUUAUUUCAAACUGACGGUAACUUCCUGGAUUUAAAAUUGAAAGUUGCGACUAUUUUAUCUUGAAUAUGUGCGGGUUGGAUAUUGUCAGAAGAUAUCAUAGCGUGCACUAUAGAAUAGCGCUGAUCCGAAUAAACGGAUCAUCAAAAUUCACUUUUGCGUACCAUUCGCGCUUAUCGUCUGCAGAAAUCUGAUAUAUUUUUCAAUUGUCCUCACAGCUACGUUCAUUUCUCGAAUUACGAAUCUGAAAAACUGAUGACCUUCACGGGUAGGUAUAAAAAAAGCUGGCUCAACGAACGUGGGAACGGAAUUUGAAUAAAAUAUUCAACAAUGAGGUUGAAUCAAUUUGUCAGUGGACUUACUCAACGUUGAUAAAACAGCCCGUGUUUCUCGCGUGAGCUGUCAACCGCUCUUCACUUAUGACAGAGCACCGUAACUAUUAAAUUCAUCGAGUUGAAUCCUUCACAGUUUUGCACUUGCAACUCCGUCCCGCCACGGAUGCCAGGCAUGAAUAAACUAAAAGGUUCAAGUCAGCCAACCAGGAGAUACGUGAGGAUUCGCUGUACGUUACGUGUAAUUUGAUCGAAUGCAGUGGGUACCGCCAUCUAGCGUAUAGGACCAACUACGUUGUUUAAACUUAUCCCAUAAAUAUAAGAACAUUAGUAAUCAUCUCUUUAUGAAUUAUUCAACGUAGCUCAACGCGAGAGGGAAAAUUAGUUUCGGACUUUUGAUGUUCCGAACACGAUCUCCAUCCCGUCCCUUGUCCAUUUUUGGAAUUUCUUAUUACUAUCAUCCAUCGACUAAUUCCUUCCGAAGGGAUGAUCUGUUUUGUAAUCAUAACGAUGGAAUUUGAAUCCUGAACGAGGUACGCCAGGGAAUUACGCGUGCAUGCGUGCGUAAUAGAAGAUCACGUUUGUAUUUAGAUAACGCACGAUCUCGAGGUUCGAUAAUAUCCUAAUUGCUCCGACUUGGAAUAGCGGUGGUUGCGCAAAGGGCGGAUGCAUCUCUUCGUAAAGGGUUAACUCAGGUCUGGUACGUGACGAGACUAUAUUGCGUCAUGUAUCUUAUAUCUCUCCGCAUCUUACGAGUUGGAUGUUUUCACCGAGAGUAUAGAACUUGUCAUACGUACUUGGGAUUCAAAACACUGCGUCUUUUACCCUGGAAUUUUAAAUGAAAUACGCUGAUUCCGUAUCGUAAAUUUUAUGCGAUCGUUUCGAAGCUUUGCUGGAGAAACAAAUGCUGAUGCAUAUUAUCGCAAAGUCUCAUACAAUUAUACCAAGAAAUACGUGAUAAGAUCUCUAAAAGUUACGGCCCCUGUAUCACGAAUGGGUAUGCGCCAGCGGCUACAUCAGAUGCAUAAUCGAUCAAGUAUCCGUAGUAUUCCGAAGAAUGAAUAAAAUUGCCGAUUAUA